rnacentral:rRNA from 1 species
GAUGAACGCUGGCGGUCUGCUUAACACAUGCAAGUCGAACGAACUCUUCGGAGUGAGUGGCGGACGGGUGAGUAACGCGUGAGAAUCUGCCUGUGGGUCGGGGACAACCACUGGAAACGGUGGCUAAUACCGGAUGAGCCGAAAGGUAAAAAAUUUAUUGCCCACAGAUGAGCUCGCGUCUGAUUAGCUAGUUGGUAAGGUAAAAGCGUACCAAGGCGACGAUCAGUAGCUGGUCUGAGAGGAUGAGCAGCCACACUGGGACUGAGACACGGCCCAGACUCCUACGGGAGGCAGCAGUGGGGAAUUUUCCGCAAUGGGCGAAAGCCUGACGGAGCAAGACCGCGCGGGGGAGGAAGGUUUUUGGAUCGUAAACCCCUUUUGUCAAGGAAGAAGUUCUGACGGUACUUGACGAAUAAGCCUCGGCUAACUCCGUGCCAGCAGCCGCGGUAAUACGGAGGAGGCAGCGUUAUCCGGAAUGAUUGGCGUAAAGCGUCUGUAGGUGGCAGCUA